UCCCUGGUAGCUCAGACUGUGAAGAAUCUGCCUGCAAUGCAGGAGACCCAGGUUCGAUCCCUGGGUCGGGAA
rnacentral:tRNA from 1 species